rnacentral:rRNA from 1 species
AAUUCCUGGUGUAGCGGUGAAAUGCGCAGAUAUCAGGAGGAACACCGAUGGCGAAGGCAGGUCUCUGGGCAUUAACUGACGCUGAGGAGCGAAGCAUGGGGAGCGAACAGGAUUAGAUACCCUGGUAGUCCAUGCCGUAAACGUUGGGCACUAGGUGUGGGGGACAUUCCACGUUUUCCGCGCCGUAGCUAACGCAUUAAGUGCCCCGCCUGGGGAGUACGGCCGCAAGGCUAAAACUCAAAGGAAUUGACGGGGGCCCGCACAAGCGGCGGAGCAUGCGGAUUAAUUCGAUGCAACGCGAAGAACCUUACCAAGGCUUGACAUGAACCAGACCGGGCUGGAAACAGUCCUUCCCCUUUGGGGUUGGUUUACAGGUGGUGCAUGGUUGUCGUCAGCUCGUGUCGUGAGAUGUUGGGUUAAGUCCCGCAACGAGCGCAACCCUCGUUCUAUGUUGCCAGCGGUUCGGCCGGGGACUCAUAGGAGACUGCCGGGGUCAACUCGGAGGAAGGUGGGGACGACGUCAAAUCAUCAUGCCCCUUAUGUCUUGGGCUUCACGCAUGCUACAAUGGCCGGUACAAAGGGUUGCGAUACUGUGAGGUGGAGCUAAUCCCAAAAAGCCGGUCUCAGUUCGGAUUGGGGUCUGCAACUCGACCCCAUGAAGUCGGAGUCGCUAGUAAUCGCAGAUCAGCAACGCUGCGGUGAAUACGUUCCCGGGCCUUGUACACACCGCCCGUCAAGUCACGAAAGUUGGUAACACCUGAAGCCGGUGGCCUAACCCCUUGUGGGAGGGAGCUGUCCGAU